rnacentral:rRNA from 1 species
GACGAACGCUGGCGGCGUGCCUAAUACAUGCAAGUCGAACGCUUUUCCUUUCACCGGAGCUUGCUCCACCGAAAGAAAAAGAGUGGCGAACGGGUGAGUAACACGUGGGUAACCUGCCCAUCAGAAGGGGAUAACACUUGGAAACAGGUGCUAAUACCGUAUAACACUAUUUUCCGCAUGGAAGAAAGUUGAAAGGCGCUUUUGCGUCACUGAUGGAUGGACCCGUGGUGCAUUAGCUAGUUGGUGAGGUAACGGCUCACCAAGGCAACGAUGCAUAGCCGACCUGAGAGGGUGAUCGGCCACACUGGGACUGAGACACGGCCCAGACUCCUACGGGAGGCAGCAGUAGGGAAUCUUCGGCAAUGGACGGAAGUCUGACCGAGCAACGCCGCGUGAGUGAAGAAGGUUUUCGGAUCGUAAAACUCUGUUGUUAGAGAAGAACAAGGAUGAGAGUAAAAUGUUCAUCCCUUGACGGUAUCUAACCAGAAAGCCACGGCUAACUACGUGCCAGCCGCCGCCGUAA